UUUUGUGUUUAAUUUAAAGUCUGACCUGCCCACUGAAUUUUUAAAUGGCCGCAGUAUUUUGACUGUGCUAAGGUAGCAUAAUCAAUAGUUUUUUAAUUGAAAGCUGGAAUGAAAGGUUGAAUGAAAAAAAAACUGUCUUAAUUAAAUUAAUUGAAUUUUAUUUUUAAGUUAAAAAGCUUAAAUUAUUGUAUAAGACGAGAAGACCCUAUAGAGUUUUAUAAUUGUAAGAAAAUAUAAUUUUGGGAUUAAUUUUAUAAUUUUUUAUUUGAUAUUUGAUUGGGGUGAUUGUAAAAUUUAUUAAACUUUUAUUUUUAAAUAACAUUAAUAUAUGAUUAAUUGAUCCAUUUUAUGAUUAAAAGAUUAAAUUACCUUAGGGAUAACAGCGUAAUUUUUUUUUAGAGUUCUAAUCGAAAAAAAAGUUUGCGACCUCGAUGUUGGAUUAAAAUUAAUUUUUGGCGUAGAAGUUAAAAUAUUAAGUCUGUUCGACUUUUAAAAUUUUACA
rnacentral:rRNA from 1 species